AAACAUUCAAUAUGUACCAGAAGAGUAACAUCGAUCAUCAAGUUAAACAUGGGCAUGAGACUAUCAAAGUUAACCCGUGCCAGAAGCAAGGCAGCAUCCACUACGGUCAUACGAAUAGAAAAACUAAUUAGUUAACAUUAAGUUCAGUAAUAUGAGCAGAAACAUAAGAAAGAAAAGGCCAACAAUGGCAAUGGAGGCAAUAAAACUACGAAGCCAUAGUUAGGCAUACAAUAGAUAGCUUGGCUCAAUUGCCUCCGUGAGUGCAUACAAUACAUGUUGACCAUAUCUUAAUCAUGAUAGAUCCAGUUUUCUGAAAAUAUAAACAACGAAGCUUCUAUCAAGCCUAAACCCACUACUGGAAGCAAAGUAAAUUUCCUUAUAUGCAGUGACUCUACCGUCAGUUUGGUUUGUUUGCCUGUGUGGGUGUUGACUUGCUUCAGAAGUCAUAGAUACAAAUAGAAGCAUAAUAUGUGGUUUUAGAAAAUAUAUCAAGUUCUAAAGAUAAAUAAAACUACUUUCAGUAUAUAUAGUAGAUGCCAUUGCAGAUAGCACUCCAAUACUAACAUUAGAAAAGGUAAUCUGGUUUUGGUCACACCAUCAAAAAAUUAGAUAAACACCAGAUGGCAAACAAAAUACAUGUUAAGCCUUCAUCCUUGUGAUUAUUGUUUUUCUUGUUCCAGAGCUCCUGUACAAAUGAUUUACAUGGUGAUCCGGAAAAAGUUGAAGCAAGCAUAUAAAUAGUGACCCUCCUAGUGAGUGAACAAAAUGUAAAAAAAACUCAUUUUCAUUUAGUGCAAACUAUGAUUCAAUCUUUUUUCUUUUUCCAACAAAAAUGUUAAUAUUCAGAAGGUAGUUGGAGACAAGGCUACACCUUAUGAAGGUUUUAAUCUUACGGUUCAAUGAAUUGCAUAGGCAGAGCACACAGUUGAUGGAUUCAAACUAUUUUUAAGAGAUGAUGUGGCAAGGCUAAGAAGAUGAAAAUAAUUAAGAAGAAAAGUUCAUGCUCAACAACUUACGAAGAUUUAACUGGGUAGUGCCUCAUGGCAGUCAUCAACCUUUGAGCCGUAGAACCGUAAGAUCAAACUGAGACUCAAGCCUGCAUAACCAUAGCAAGAAAAGGAUCAUCAACAAAGAGGACAAAGUGAAUCAGGAACCAGUUCCUGGUUCCUCUAAAAAAUCAUUCUAAAUGACAAAUUGUGAGAAGAAAAAAGAACUGGUCUAAUGACAUAGAUGUGUUAAACGGCAAACACUACCAAGUCAGAUCAAAUACUCAGCCUAUUUCUGUCCUUUUUCAAUAUUAAGAACGAUUAUUAGGUAACCAAGUACAUAACAAAAACAAAUAAUGCCUACAUAGUAGCUCAUCUCUCUUAAUGCAUCUACACUGAUUUUGAUGUAUAGUUUAGGACCAAUGGAAAACCAGAAAAACACAAACAACUCACACAAUAAAGCUAAUACUAAAUACUGCACGCCGUCGAGACCUAUCUGGCGUGCAACAUCUGUCACUACAGAAGGACAUCGGCGUCAAUCACAGCGGUAGGGCCAUCAGCAUAGCCAACACGAAUUGCAGGCCGAACCACGGUCGCAGCUACUGACUCCAACAUAUUUUUGAACGUAGAUAUGAUACAUGAUUGAGAAUACCUAAUCAGUAAAGCACCACUACCCAACCAUAAACAUAGAGGAAGUAAUAUGAGCCGAAAUCUCUAAUGGCAUGAAAAAAUUAGAGCAUGUUUGACAUAUCAUUUUAAACUACAAAUAUGAAAUAAACUACAGCCAAGAAAGAAAACUAAGUAGCUAGAGAGCAUACACUGCUUUCUAAUAGGAAAGAAGGUAAUUUAACUGGCAAGGUACUGCCACUGACUCCAACAUGAAAGAAUGAAGAAAACUUUUUUAAUCAACCUCUGCCAUGCUCAUGUUUCUUUUGUAGUCAGUAGAGUAGUUGCAACCAUGCGCAUAUCACUAAGCAAAAAAAAGAGAAGGUCACGACUUACUUAAUGUUUGACGGCGGCAAGAGCCACGAUGGCAUCGGCGGCGGUGGUGGCGUCCGAUCGCCAACAACCAUGCAUAUAUCAAGUGCCAUGAUAUGUGAGGCAAGACAUAGGAAUACAAGAGGGAAACAAAACAGAGGCACACAUGAUGCAUACUUUACCAUACAAACUUAAGGCAGCAAGAGAGGCCCCUAUAACUUGCUGGGAGCAUGUCUUUCUAGUAUAACAAAGUGCAGCUUACUCUUAACCAGAUUAAAUCAAGGACCAACAACAAACAAUAAAAGAUCAAGAACAACUCAUAUGCAAUAAAGGUAUGAGAGAGAAGAAAUCUUUACAUAAGACGACUAUAAACACCGGAGCAUAAAUAAGCAACACCUUUAAAUACAAAUAAAAAGGAUCCAGGGUUCAUUGCAUAGUGGGCUCAGAUCUGACUUUCCUCGAUCAUAUAACCUACCCCCGUCUCUUAUCACCAGAUCAAUCUUUUUAUACAGUGGAGCUUCCCUGGUUAUCACUCAACAAGAAUGACCAUCCAAGGACAGAGCAACAAGUAUCACAGGAUCAAAAAGGAUUCUAGAGACAAGAGGGAGGAUUCAACUUGAUACCCACAUGUGCCUCGAUUGCUCGAAGGCACACUUAUUUCAGACACGGCUAAUCAUCAUCGCCCCAGCACGAAAGCCAUCGGAGCAUAAAUAAGUAACACCUUUAAGUACAAAUAAAAAUAGUUCAGGGUUCAUUGCAUUGUGGGCUCAGAUUCGGCUUUCCUCGAUCAUAUAACCUACCCCCGUCAUCUUUUAUCAUAGAUCAAUCUGUUUAUACAAUGGAGCUGCCCUGGUUAUCACUCAACAAGAAUGACCAUCCUAGGACAGAACAACAAGUAUCACAGGAUCAAAAAGGACUCCAGAGACAAGAGGGAGGAUCCAGCUUGAUACCCACGGGUGCCUCGAUUGCUCAAAGGCACACUUAUUUCAGUCAAGGUUGUCAGGACCCGAGUGCCUCUGUCUGAAGAUCCGAUCGCUGCAAAUAGGAUUCAGUUAAUUCAAACCCGUCCGAACAGGCGGGAAACGUCAGGAGCCACACAUCUUCGAUCGCACGGCCGAGACGUCGUCGUACCGCUUCGCCAGUUAUGAUGACCCGACGAGCGUCCGAUCUUCAUCGUGUGGCGGGGACUGCCCUGGAGGUCGAUGUUCCCUUUCUGGCAAAGACCGCAACGUUUCUCUCCUUUUUGUUUUGCUUUUGCUCUUCUUUUUCCUUCCCUUUGUAAGGCUAUAAAGCCAGGAGUUGGGAUCGAGGUUAGGUAUCUUUUUUGUUAGGGUUUCCCCCUUGCCGCCGCCAGUGUUCCUGGUCGGCUAGAACCUCUGUAACGAGCUAGACUCGCUAAUCAUUCCUCUGAAAUUCAAGCUAAACUCCACUAGUUCAGUCUCUGUUUUACUGAAUUCUAUGCUUGGCGGCGGUGGAGUUGGAGGAGCCGUAAAAUCCUUCACUUCCCACCGGACAAUCUUGGCGGCAGUGUAGCUGACGGCGGCGGUGCAGGCGGCGGCAGGAUCUACGGUCAAGGUCGGGUUGCAGCAAGUGCUAUGAGAAAUCGAGAGCAGGACAGACAGGACUUCAAGGACUUCAGGGACCAUGUGCAAGACAACUUCCAGUCAAUGCAGAAGUCUUUGGGGGAAUUACAGGGCACACUUAACAAAUUUAUCUCUAGAUUUUCAAAACCACAUGAAACCCCACCCAUUCCCAAGAUAUCCCUCAAGGCAGUGGACAAAAUCAUACACCACAAGGCCCAGUGCUUCGGCCAGUCGAUGGCCUCCAAACCCCUCCUACUGCAGGCUCUGUAACUUUGGUGGAUAAGCACACUGGAAAAGAACUUAACUUGGAUGGCAGCACCAAAAUUUCGUACAGGCACCCCCACUUUGCGGACAACAAACUUCUCCCACCUAAUGCCAGAGCAACUACUGCAAUUCCUAAAAUAGGAAACAUGCAACAAAUCACUCAGUUAGAACAAGAGCAAGCUGAGGAGCAGGUUCAGCAAAUAGCUGGCAGAGGGGGCAAUGCACAGAGAGAUCAAGUCCAAGACAACAGAAGACCUCUGACUUUGGUGAAACCUGCUAAGUAUAACAUACCGGAGUUUGAUGGCAGUGGAACUGACUCUUGGAUCCAAACCAUUGAAAUGUACUUUGAAGCUGCUAGGACACCACUGGAGCAGAAAACUGAAAUUGCUGUCACUUAAAGGGGCCAGCAAUAGAGUGGUGGAGAGGAACUGGAAUUAUUGCCAAUACCCUACCCUGGUACAGGUUCUGUAGACUGAUUGGAGACAGGUUUUCCGAAACUUCAGUAUGUGACAAUGUCAGAACUUUUCAUGCUCUCAACCAAACUGGGUCUGUUAAUGACUAUGUGCUCAAGUUUGAACAGUCCAUGAACUUACUCAGGAGGGACAACCCUGCACUGCCUGCUGAUUAUUACAAAGCUAGUUUCAUUGCUGGUCUGAGUGACACUAUCCAACAUUAUGUUCAAUGUCAUGAACCAGCAGACCUACAAAAAGCUAUCUGGUUGGCCAGAAGAAUGGAACAAGCUCAGCCCAGCAAGAAAACACCAGUGGCUUAUAUUAAUCAGCCAGUUAGAAGGCAACUUCAGUUGGACCUAGGAAAGCCACCUCCUAACAACACACCUACUGUCAUCCAACGGGCCAGAAUGAAAGGAAUCUGCUACCAGUGCAAAGAACCAUGGUUUCCUGGCCACAAGAAAGUUUGCAAAUUGGCAAAUCAAAUGCAGAUACAAGCCUUGCAAGAGACCUGCCCUGAGGAUGCAGAACUGGUCUACUACACUGCUGAUGAUACUGAAGCUCCACCUCCCACUGACUUGGAUGACACUCCCUUGCAAAUCUCCAUGCAUGCCCUCAUGGGAGUCACUUCCUCCAAGCUGAGUUUCACUGUUACAGUCAUGUUGGGAGACAGACCUGCAACUGACCUCAUUGACAGUGGCAGCACCGCAACAUUUGUAACUCCUGCACUUGCAAAGCUGGCUCUGUGUGCUCUUACUCCAACUAAGAAAAAGAAAGUGUUAGUUGCCAAUGGAGCAACUCUAUGGACUGAAUUCAUUGCCACCCAGUGCCCUUUUGUGGUGCAAGGAACUAAAUUUUCCCAUGAUUUCCGAGUCCUACAGUUGCAAGGUUAUGAUGUGAUAUUGGGAGCUGAUUGGAUGAAAACUGUUAGUCCUGUCCAGCUAGAUUUUGAGGAAAUGGAAGUGCAAGUCACACUGAAAUCAGGAGAAAAGAAAAUCUUCAAGGAUGAAAGCUUACCCAGUGAGCCAGUUCAAGAAAUGGACAGCAUGGAGCACUUAUCUGAUGACACUAUCUGUGGGGCUGUGUUGCUACUAAACAAAAUUGCUCUGACAAAACAUGAGGACACUGUUGUUCCCCUACCUGUCCAAGAACUUCUAGGUCAGUACAAGGAUAUUUUUGGAACUCCUACUGAUUUACCUCCUAAGAGAAAUGUUGAUCAUGCAAUUCCUUUUGAACCUGGUGCAAAAGUUAUAAACCAAAGGCCAUACAGAUUACCUUAUCACCAAAAGGAAGCUAUGGAAAAUAUCAUUCAGGAAAUGAUUAAAAAUAAGGUAAUCAAAGAUAGUUCAAGUCCUUACUCCUCUCCUGCAAUUUUGGUGAAAAAGAAAGAUCUAUCCUGGAGACUUUGCAAUGACUUCAGAAAGGUCAAUACUCAGACUAUCAAAAACAAAUACCCCAUCCCUGUUAUUGAGGAUUUGUUGGAUGAAUUGCAUGGAGCCACUAUUUUCACUAAGCUUGAUCUCAGAAGUGGAUACCAUCAGAUCAGAAUGAAGGAAGAGGAUAUUGAGAAAACUGCUUUUAGCACUCACUGUGGGCACUAUGAAUACUUGGUUAUGCCCUUUGGUUUAACCAAUGCUCCUGCAACUUUCCAAAUGCUCAUGAAUACUAUCUUAGCCAAGUAUCUCAGAAAAUUUGUACUAGUAUUCUUUGAUGAUAUUUUGGUGUUCAGUAAAAAUAUGAAGGAGCACAUAAUCCACUUGCAACAAGUAUUUGAAACUCUCAAGGAACACCAGCUGUAUAUUAAAGCAAGCAAAUGUGUCUUUGCUCAGCCUCAGGUGGAGUACUUGGGACAUGUUAUUAGGGCUGAUGGAGUUGCAACUGACCCAGUCAAAAUUCAGGUUGUACAACAAUGGCCAGAACCUGAAAAUGUCACACAGCUCAGGAGCUUUUUAGGGUUGACAAGUUACUAUAGAAGAUUUGUGGAAAAGUAUGGACUCAUUUGCAGGCCACUGUUUAACUCCCUGAAAAAGGACAGUUUCACUUGGGGGCAAGAGCAAGUUCAAGCUUUCAAUACCCUGAAGAACAAAAUGACACAAGCCCCAGUGUUGGCCCUACCAGACUUCUCCAAGCCUUUCAUCUUGGAAACAGAUGCUUGUGCCUAUGGACUGGGUGCAGUUCUAAUGCAAGAGGGGAGACCUAUUUCCUUUUUCAGUAAAGCAAUUGGCCCUAGAGCAGCUGCAUAUUCCACUUAUGACAAGGAAGCUUUAGCAAUUAUUGAAGCUCUCAAGCACUGGAAACAUUAUUUUGCUGCAUCCUCUCUCAUAAUCAGAACUGAUCAACAGAGUUUAAAAUAUAUACAAGAACAAAAACUCACCGAGGAUUCAGCGCAAGCUUCUGGUCAAACUCCUUGGCUACAAUUACACUGUGGAGUACAAGCAGGGCAAGAAAAAUAAAGUGGCUGAUGCCCUUUCCAGGGUGCACCACAAAAUUCAUGCUCUAAUUGCUUCUACUGUCAAACCUGCCUGGGUAACUGAAGUUGUUGACAGCUACAAGAAUGACCAAAUAUGCAAGGAUCUCCUAGCUCAACUAACUAUAAACCCUGAUUCUGUGCCCAACUACACUGUGCAACAGGGUGUGCUCAGAUACAAAAAUAGAAUUGUCAUUGGAGCUGAUAAUACCAUCAGAACUAAAUUGCUAGCUGCUUUACAUAGCUCUGAACUUGGUGGCCAUUCUGGUCAAAGAGCUACAUACCAAAGAGUUAAGCUUCUCUUCCAUUGGCCUGGCAUGAAGCAAUUUGUUGUUGACUAUAUUAAACAAUGCCCAACCUGUCAAAUAAACAAAGCUGAACACUGCAAGUACCCUGGGCUGCUCCAACCUCUGCCAGUCCCAGACUUUGCCUGGUGCCACAUAAGCAUGGAUUUUAUGGAAGGUCUUCCUACUUCUCACAACAAGAACAUGAUUUUGGUUGUGGUGGACAGGUUCACUAAAUACAACCACUUUAUCCCAAUGAAACACCCCAUUACAGCUAAUACUGUAGCUAAGGCUUUCACUGAUAACAUCUUCAAACUCCAUGGAUUACCAGCUGUGAUUGUCACUGACAGAGACAAAAUCUUCACUAGCAAGCUCUGGCAGGACUUGUUCAAGAAGUUGGGAAUAAAAUUACACAUGAGCACUUCGUACCACCCUCAGUCUGAUGGUCAGACAGAGAGAGUUAACCAAUGCUUGGAAAAUUAUCUCAGAUGCAUGGCUUUCAUCCAACCACAAAAGUGGCUCAACUAGAUAUCCCUAGCAGAGUGGUGGUACAACACUAGCUAUCACACAGCUCUCAAGAUCACCCCAUUCCAAGCCUUGUAUGGCAGACCUCCUCAUAUGUUAGCUGAAUCUGCUCUUUAUCCUGUGGAAGAACUGGAACAGUUCCCUGAUGUACUCACUGCUGAACAAACCGCAGCACAUAUUAAAGAACACCUCUUGAGGGCUCAAGCCAGAAUGAAACAUUACGCCGACAAGAAGAGAUCUGAGAGAACAUUGGAAGUUGGUGACAUGGUAUACCUAAAACUACAACCUUACAGGCAUACCACUCUCAGUAUCCAUAGAUGUCUCAAGUUGCAUUCCAAAUUUUAUGGCCUAUUCAGAGUUAUCCUGAAAGUUGGUACAAUGGCUUACAAGCUCCUUCUUCCUGACGAUUGCAAACUGGAUGAUACUUUUCAUGUGAGCCAGCUCAAGAAGCAUAUUGGCCCAAUGACGAUUCCAAACCCCAAGCUCCCCUUGCUCAACCCGGAUGGAACAAUCUUACUAGAACCAGAACAACUGCUCGAACGCAAACUGGUACCGCGUGUGCAAGGCAACAUCAGUAUCCCCGUGGUUCGAUGGCUCAUCAAAUGGAGUAAUCUACCUCUGGAGGAGGCCACUUGGGAGGACGCCACAUUCAUACAAAAAGUGUUUCCUAAUUUCCAGCCCUGAGGACAGGUCUGAUCUGGAAGGGGGGGAGUUGUCAGGACCCGAGUGCCUCUGUCUGAAGAUCCGAUCGCUGCAAAUAGGAUUCAGUUAAUUCAAACCCGUCCGAACAGGCGGGAAACGUCAGGAGCCACACAUCUUCGAUCGCACGGCCGAGACGUCGUCGUACCGCUUCACCAGUUAUGAUGACCCGACGAGCGUCCGAUCUUCAUCGUGUGGCGGGGACUGCCCUGGAGGUCGCUGUUCCCUUUCCGGCAAAGACCGCAACGUUUCUCUCCUUUCUGUUUUGCUUUUGCUCUUCUUUUUCCUUCCCUUUGUAAGGCUAUAAAGCCAGGAGUUGGGAUCGAGGUUAGGUAUCUUUUUUGUUAGGGUUUCCCCCUUGCCGCCGCCAGUGUUCCUGGUCGGCUAGAACCUCUGUAACAAGCUAGACUCGCUAAUCAUUCCUCUGAAAUUCAAGCUAAACUGCACUAGUUCAGUCUCUGUUUUACUGAAUUCCAUGCUUCAGACCACCUGGGUCUGACAGGUUGAUCAUCAUCGCCCUAGCACGAACACUACUGGUCAAUUUAGCAAAUCCAGGAGCAUAACUAUACAACCAGAGCAUCCACAUGUAAACCAGAUCAUUGCAGGAACUCCUAUUAUAGAAACCAAACAUGAACUCAGCCUGCAAACCCUAGAAUAGCAUGCAUCUACAACUAAAGAGCUCAAGUAGGAACCGAUGCAUGAGCAGGGAAUAGAGCAUCAACCAGACGAGCACCACAUCAAUAUAGCCACGGCCAUGUCCAAUGCAGUAGCCGAAGCAGAUGAGCAGGAGGAAGAUGGAGCUCACCAAGGGAGGUUGUAGCCGAGGCAGUACUCAGUGGGCACCGGGUUGCGCCUGAACACCGUCCAACCAGCGAGGAACCACGUCGGAGUUACGCCUUGCACUGCCCCGCCGACGAGCCUGCAUACCAUAGGAAGAAAAGGAUCAUCAGCCAAAUUAGGAACCAGUUCCUGGUGAAGAAAAAAGAACAUAUUCUGAUUCCUAUAAAAAUCAACUUUAGAUGACAACCCCUGGUAAGAAAAAUCAAGAAGCAACAAUCUUAAAGGGAGUAGCAUCGAUUCCUAAGCCACACAAGCAUCAUACAGCAGCAACUACAACCUACACCAUAGGGGGGGGAAUCCAUAAAUGCAAGGCAUAAGUGGGAAAAAUUGCAACAGAUGCAAGGAAGAAUAUAUUACCAGGAGUCUAAAAUAAUAUUUUCAUUCAGCAAGGUGCCAUGGCUGAGUAUGCUUGCCCAUCCUAAUUGUCAAUCCUUAAGACAAACUAUUUUGUGCAUAACGGUGAACAUUUUUAUCUUUCUACAGUAAGAAAUAAAAGGUUUAUUAUGGCAUUUCAUAAAUGAUUUAGUCGCGCCUCAACAUAUAAGAAGUAACAAUAAACCAGAAGAAACAAUUAUGUCUUUGCUUUCCCUCUAUAUAAGUAAGAAUAAAAGGUUUAUUAUGGCAUUUCAUAAAUGAUUUAGUCGCGCCUCAACAUAUAAGAAGUAACAAUAAACCAGAAGAAACAAUUAUGUCUUUGCUUUCCCUCUAUAUAAAGAAUGUCCAUAUUAUUCCUAGGAGGCAUGUUGCCAUCAAGUUUCUUGUUGAACUGCCUAAUUUCGACAUUUAACAAUGAUGCAUAUCAUUUUAGAAGACUAAAUACCUUGCCACUACAACCAUAGUCACCGUCAUCAACUUGCACAUCCUAAUUUUGACAUAGUAACCUUUAAUAAUGAUCGGAACCUGUAUUGAGAACCUAGUCGCCGUCAACCACUACAACCAUAAACAACACAAAUAAAUGAUGUAACCAGCUCAUACAAAUUUGUGGUUUUUCUUCUCUGCGGAGCUUAUACUAAUAUUUCUACAUGCUAACAACACAACAUAACAUCAUACUUAAAUGUGCAUCUGCUAAUCUAACAAAUAUCCCCAUCUCAAACAGAAAGCUGUAGAUAUUUUCACACAGUCGAUGGCCAAAUCACUGUACUGAAUUUAAUCUAGCUCCUAAAAACAUCACCUGGAUAACAAUUGCAACCACGACAUAUUUGUCCUAUGAUUAUAUGGCUAAGAAAGGACCAAACUUCUCUAGUUACUUAAAUACAUGCAAGCUGGUGCAACUAACUAAGAUAAAGGUUAGUAUAAGUUUCCUAAAUAAAUUUAGGUUAAAAGUCAAAUCAACUAAAGUUUUUUUGUUCUUGCUAUACACUGGCAUAUGGGAUCGGUAACCCACGCACUCUGCUCCAACCCAACAAAAAUAGAGAAAACAGAGCAUCAAUCUUGCUUUCUUUAACGCUAAAGAGAUCGGUCCCAAAAGGCCUUGCUCAGGAACCAGCAAGGCAUCAUGUUGUGUUUCCCACAAAGACCAUGAAGCAUAAGCAACUAAUCAGAGAAGUAGACACAAACUUGGUUACCUAGGCUCGAAAUGCAGGGUUGGCGGCUACUCACCUAGGCUCGAAGUAGCUGUCUCUGUCGUCGGGUCAUGGACAGUAAGGCGGGAUAGAUUCUUCUUGGGUUCCUCUCCCUUUGUGUGGUGGCGGCCUGAGCUUCUCCUGCCGAGCGCCAAGGAGGAAGAGAUCGAGCAGAAUCGGUGAGUGGGUGACUUUCGUAAUGCAAAAUCGGUGAAACUAAAAAUGCAUGCUAUAGUUUGAAGCAAAGAAGUAGCAUACGCAUUGGAGACAUCAUUGUUUUAAUUAUAGAAGUGGCAUCAAAUUAAAAAAUACACAAAAAUAAUCUAAGAAUAUUAUCAUUAUAGAGCAAUAAUUUCUGAACUUGGUGUCUAUCAAAAGUAAAAUAAUAUAAGGAAAUCUCUCUACUAUCACUACAACAUUGCAAACCAAACCAAUCAGUAGUAUAACAAUCAGAUCGAUGAUAGGGGCUUUUUCCCAUGAUUUCCAUGUAAAAUAGCAUCAGUAGUACAUGAAUUAUGCAUAAUCACGUUUUUGUUUGUGUUUGCAAUGCAUGGUGUGUUAUCAAUAGCUUCUCUGACCAAUAGGUAACAACCAUCUCUAGCUGAAAAUUCCAUCACAUAUCAUGUCGUGGAUUGAAAAUCUGGUACGUUUAUCCGAUGAGAACACCUACAGAUUAUGUGCGGAUACAAAGCACCACGAUGGCAGCCCCAAGAUAAGGUGUGUGAAGGAGGAGGGGAGAGGAGAAGAUCUCCAACCUCGAGCCGGCACACGAGCUGGGAUAGUGCGGGUGUGGAUGGCAGCAGAGCGGGCACAGAGAAACCGAACGUAUGGUCUCGAUGUUGUUCUUCAUGCCGUCGUUGCACGCCUCCCUGCACAUCACCGGCCAAAACAACCACACGCAUGAACAUCUAGCUCACAAUCACAUAAACCUGAGAGUUGUGUAUUCUCUCAUAACUCGUACAAAACAUGAGUUGUGUAUGUAUUCUUAGGAAGAUAUUAAAAUUGCAUCAAGUAGCAGGCAGUCUAUUGUAUAUAUUUUUUUACAGAGGUAAUGUGAAUAUAAGAUAAGAUGGUAGUAUAAGAUAUCACAAAAUAUGCUACAAACAUGUAUAUUUCAUGGAUAGAUGGAGUGGCCUGAAAUUGCAUGCAAGAGGUUGAGAAAAGAAGAAGAAUACUUGUUAAAGAAUUACCGGAACAAAGGCAAAGUCUGCGAGAAUUCCCACAAAAUAAUGAUUUUGGACAUGUAUACUAGGAGAGGUGUCACCACUACAUCCAUGAGACCACCACGGACAGAGCUACAAGAAAGUAAUACAAAAAAAAUUCUUAUCGAUGGUCGGAUGUGCACAUUCUAUCCAUUGGUAUAUGUCGAAGAAUGUAGUAUUACUUUGACAUUUAGCAAGUUGAAUGGAUAGUACAUAACAAUUAAGGCAAGUCAUUUUUCCAAAAGGUGCAUGAAACUCAGAUAUCAGUCUAUAUAGCACACCACGGUAGCUAAUGAGAGAGAGAUCGGGAGAGCAACCUGCAACACCCAGGUCAGGUUCUACGCGGUGAUCAAAGAAGUUGCGCGACAAAGUAAGCAAGCGCACCCAGCGCCACCAGUCGCUAGUCAGAAGCAAACUAUUAUUAGGAAAGAAGAGGUGCAUCACAAUUGCUCAUUUUCGUGUUAAGAAAUUAGAUUGACACCAGAUGGCAAACUAUAAUACAUAUACAAAGAUCAAGUACUCUCAUGAUGCAUAGCAUCCAUUAAACUGAAUUAUACCUUUUAAGCGCGCGCACACACACACCGCAAACUGAUCUGGAACUUGGAAGUAUGUUCUUUUUAAACCAUAAAUCUUACAUGCAGCUUUAAAUUUAGUAAAAUUUUAGUUACAUUCUUUUUAAUUUUCAACACCCUGGAACCUAGAUAAAAUCCCCCAGUAAUAUCCUAAUCGCAUCAAUUGCAAAACUACAUAUAGUGAAUAAUCAGAAUCAGACAUGUAGCUGAACCCAGUCUCAGUUUGCUGAUCAACAUAGAUAAGAUUCGACUCCUGCAGUAGCCAAUAUCCAAUUCCAAACAGAGAGAAGAUUAUACAGGGUCUAAACAAUCUCUAAGAAAAAUAUUAUACAGAUUGAUUGAUUAGUACGCAAACUGUCGGUAUAUAUAAUAUACCUGAUCCCAACCAAACUCAUUCUAGAGUAGCGACAUGUUGUCUGCUAUGUGGAAGGCGCCGUUCUCGUAGAAGAGGGCUAGCUCGCUGCAGUAGCCGGGCCUUCCCAUCAGCCAGAUCACCACUGGGUCCUCCUUGUGCCACCUGAAUUCGAAGAAGUAGAACAGCCUCCACGAAAAAGUGGCAGAUGUAAGGCAUAGGAUCAUCAUGAGAAACGCAACAUGAACGAAGAGGCUGGAGGCUGCAUGAGUGAGCUCACCUGGCGUCAUGAGUGGUGGGGAGGCGGUAGCACUCAGUGUGGUGCCCGAGGUUGCUCACCGACGUCACAACGACGACUUUGGAUAGAAUCACCGCCCAAAAGGAUCAAAUAUUCAAGUGCGGCGCAUAGUUCCUUCAAGAUAAAAAGAACAGCUGACUAUGUGAUGUUUCAAAUAGUCCGUCCAUAGUAGUGUACUGUGAUAUAUUCAAGUAGUCCAUCCAAAGUAGUGUACUGUGAUAUAAAUAUAUAACGAAUGAUCACUUACUGAUUAGGAUCUCCUCCAUAGCUAGCAAUAGUAUCACAAAUAAAUGAAAAUGCCUCAAAAGCAUCACUGACCAUGUCACUUAUUGCUCCUUGGGGCAAAUUUCUGCAAGAUAUAUUUACAUAUUUCAUCAACUAGACAUAUGUCAAUCUAUACUUACUCGCCUAGAAGUCAUGAAAUUAGAUAGAAAUGCCAUCAAAGGGUAAGCACCUAUAAUCAAUGCAAGCGACUAUAAUUCCACGCUCCGCUAACCGUCUUCCAAGAAGAGCACCCCACGCCCUGUAACUAAACAGAAUCAUGACCAUCAACAACGGAAGUCACGGAGAAAGGUGUCUUGAUAUGUACCUUAUCUCCUCCUCUAUAUGGACCAGCUGGUGAUAGAUGUGUGGCUGUAGAGAGAGAGUUGACAGUAAACAAACCGAAAGCAAUGAAAAAGGAAAACAAAGAGACUUAUUACAUAGGUGUAUUAUAAAUUUUCUUGAACGGGGUAUUAAAUUGCCUUUCCUUUAACAUUAUCAAAUUCCACAUAAUCCAUGCUUUCAUGGAUAUUAUACAUAGGCUGGGGGGACAUUCAUGCUUCCUUGAAGCACUGGUCUAAUAUAAAAAGAACCUUUGCUUCAGAAAUAUAAGUUGAAGAAAAAGAGCUGCUGAUAUACAAUGUAAGAGUAGGACAGAGAAAAUACUACACUAAAUUCCUGCUCCUGUCAUUUAACUAAAAAGUGAAAACCUAUCCAAAUAUUCAAUGGAAUUGCUUAUACUCUUCGUCCCAGCAAAUCUUUCAAGUGUGUACAGAACUGCUGAUGGAACGUAAGCCUAUACACUACAUAAUCUGAACUCUUUUGGAAGGGAAUUAAUAAGAAAUACAUAAGUUGGAAAUUACUGAGUAAAUAAAAGAGCACACAUAUUACAUAUAUAAUCUUCCCGGCAGUCUAUAGGAGUUUUGUCGAACACCUACAGACAAAUCUUGAGGAAGAUAAGCUACCCUUCCGAUCUAAAUCAUCGUCACCCUUCCGAGCGCGAGCGGAGGCGGCGGCGCGAGGGCGAGCGGGAGAGGAGGCGCGUGGGAGGGGAGGGGAACGAGAGAGAGAGAUAGGGAGAGGAGGCGCUCAGGAGGGGAGAGGAGGAGGCUAGGGUUAACCACAGGAGCCGGUCCUUUUAUAACCGCGCAAGUGAAAUGACGAAAAUGCCCCCGGCUGGACAGACUAUUUACGAGCGGUGGCACGAAAUGGGAGUAACUAUUCAUUCCAGCAGUAACUUUUUUUUAUCCGACUGACGAGGUCGUUCCAGGGGUCGAUCCGACGGCCCAAGAUCCAUCAAGCAACCAGAUCCAACGGCCAGGAAUCCCAAAUCGCUGAGGAACGGGCUGAGGAGCUUCUAUUCUUAUCUCUUAUCUCUUGAUUCCGCUCCACCAUCCUACACCAAAAGAGUGAUUCCGCUCCACCAUCCUACAGUUCUCGUACCAUCUGAUGAAACCUAUGUAAGACGCAAUGCAGGACGUAUGUGUUCUCUUUUUGACGGGCAGGUUGUAUGUGUUCUCGUACCAUAAAAAGAAUUAAAGUUCAGGGAUGUGUGUGCCUGCAUAUGUGUUAAAUCCAGCAAAAUUAAAUCCAGAUCUGGAUCAAGCAAACAAAAAUUUAGAAUGGGCAAAAAAUAAAAUGCAAGGCUAUCAAGAAAAAUUAAAUUGAAAUAUUAAUCAAACACACAAAGAUUCAAAAUUAGCAAUGCAUGGAAACAAUAUGUACCAGGAGUGGUAAAUCUGAAGCGCCUGGGUAUACAUCAUGGGUUGAACAACCAAGAUGGCUGCCAUGGUGUCCAGUCGUCGAGCGCCUAAGGAAGUUCAACCUUGUGAUUCAACCACCAAUAUGUCAUGCGAGGCUAUGUACUCAAUCCAGCAAAAUUAAAUUUAUAAAUUAAUCAACCAUACAAAAGUUCAGAAUUAGAAAUUAAAUUUAGAUAUUAAUCAAGCACACAAAAAUUCAGAAUUUGCAAUAUAGAGGGCAACAAUGUAUACCUAUAGGAGGUGUAAAUCUGAGGCGUUUGUGUAUUUUGCAAGGGAAGAACAACCAAGAUCACUGGGCGGGCAUCCAAUUCGUCCAGUACCUAAGGAAGUACAUGACCUCUAAGUUUAGAAGUGUGGUCGGCAUGGGAUGUGUAUUGUUUGUGUCAGCAAAAGAAAAAAAUAGUGCAGAAGACAGGAGUACAUGACCUCCAAUUCCAAAGUGUGGCCAGCUUAGAUCGUAGGUCACCAUCCUCACCCAGUAGAAGCUUUCCAUUAGAGUCGAGGCAAAAAUUUAACCUGCAGUGCUUAUAAAAGAUGGGAAGGUGUCUGGGAUACAAUGGAUUCAUCACAUCACACGCAGAAAGUAGAGGCCGUGAUCCUAUAAUGUAAUAAGAUAUGCACCAAACCUGAAGGUGUUGUCAUGGGGGACGUCGCUGAUCAAGCCGGACUCCUCGCCACCGGCAACGGUCGUGGAGCAGAACAAUAGCGGACAGAGGCUCCAUCGAUAGUUCCCUGCUCGAUGAUCUAAGGAUCUGGGCGGCCGGCCACUAAACAACGAACAACCCGCGUCCCAAGUCUCAGCAUCCAAAGGGCAUGCCUAAGGAGAUCGACAAACAUGCGCAUGGGUUGAAUCGGCUUGCUCCUCGACGACCCGGGCCGGGGUGCGUGGCAAUGGAACCAAGGUCGGGCAUGCGCCCUAGCUCCCAGGGUGGUGUCGAUGGCGAUGAAGACCGGUGGCCAUGCGGGAUGAGCGGGAUUCAAGCCGAGAUUUGAUGGGGAUCGCUGGCUAGCAGACGUACGUGAGGAGCGACCUUCACAUGAAGAUUGGCUGGAGAUCACUGUGAGGCAGGGGCAAUUAGUUAUUUUCUCGAGCGGAGAGGAGAGGAUCCGGCGCUGUCUGUAGCUGAGGCAUGGGAAUUAGUAAUUUUCUGAGGGGAGAGGAGUCGAUCCGCCGUAGUCUGUACUCUGUAGUCGUAGGCAGGCAGUGGAUCCGUCGCUCUCUUUUAUUUUUCAUGAUGAGGGGAAGAGCGCUAGGAGAGAGGCCGAGAGGGUCCGGUGUCGAUUGGUUGGGAUUUGCAACUGAACGCUGAGGUGGCAUUAUGAUGACGUGGACAUUGUGCAUGUUGAGAGAAUUGGUAGAAAUGGGAAGCAACUUCUUAAGAAUGUAAAAUGUGUGAAAAGCUUCCUACAGACCAAUCCACACUUCAGGUUGUGGAAGAAAUACUUUCAGGUGACGCCCCUGGAAAAUGGGGCAAGCUCUACGAGUGCGGCGAGCCAACAUUCAAUUGAAGCCACACGCCAAAUACUUUAGCCUAGGAUUACCCAAUUUAGUCAAGAAAUGGAAAAUGGAUCUGAUUCUACUAUCCGGAUGUCCCAAUACAUAGCAUAGCCAAGGGACUCCCGUCGUACUCGUCUGCCCGGCCUCAACGCCGACGUUCAUAGGGCAUGAAACCAUCCAUUACGGAGAUGCAGGACGUUGAGCACCUCCACCAGAAAGUUCAACGCCUCAUCAACACCGCCUCACAGGGAUGGAGAUUUUGUUUACUUGGCUAGAUAGGAGGACACAACCCCUUAGGCUAGGCCCAACCCAAUGUAUGAGUACGUCGGACCCUUGGAAGACAUUGAGUAGUUUCCCAUCAACUACGAUGCAAAGCCGCUUCAGACGACAACGACCAUGAUAGUAAAAGCAAGGGCAGACGACAUACCAACCAAGUCCACCAUCCAACCGUAUUCCCUUCAACCUCCGCCCAUGAAUGUAUGUAUCUCUCACCCAGCUUCUCACCUGUCAUUUCUUAUUUGUCUCCUUCAACCGCUUACAUGUGAGAAUCAUGCUAUUUUAGCACAUUUUUCGCAACCCCUUGAUCCAGCCUAUAGAUUUUGAUCCCUUGGUCCCAUAUAUUCAAGGAGGCUUUUGGUUCAUUUCAUACUAUAGGAGCGUCAAGGGCUACAAACAUCUUAUCUCCAUGAAUCUGUUCCCCGGGAACACGGCCUCAAUAGACAUACACUAGUCGUAUGAGUGUAUCACCAACGCACGCAACAACGACGAUGAGGAUGCCCUGCCUAGUUCCAGCGACAUCUCCGAUGGAAAGUUGGGGCGACAGACCACGAAGAAGAGCAUGAUGGCAACGACGAUCACCUUAAUGAGAACACAGCCGCGCACUCCGCCAAGAACCAAAAGGAAAACGCAGAAAGCAGACAUUAGAAAAUAUGCGCACUAAGGUUUGCACCUCCUCGUGUGCACACAGAAGAGAGCAGAUAGGCAAGCAUCCAUGAACAUCGCUCGAAGGCCAACUCUGGGUAGGAAUAACAUGGACAUGAACCCAUGGCGAGCUCGGCGGUGGGUAGGAGCAUGGAAUCUUUCGCCGACAAUGGGUGUUGGGGAACGUUGCAGAAAACAAAAAUUUCCUACGGUUUCACCAAGAUCCAUCUAUGAGUUCAUCUAGCAACGAGUGAUUGGAUUGCAUCUACAUACCUUUGUAGAUCACGCGCGGAAGCGUUCAAAGAACGGGGAUGAGGAAGACGCACUCGACGUGAUCCAAAUCACCGGAGAUCCUAGCGCCGAACGGACGGCACCUCCGUGUUCAACACACGUACGGUCAGCGUGACGUCUCCUCCUUCUUGAUCCAGCAAGGGGGAAGGAGAAGUUGAUGAAGAUCCAGCAGCACGACGGCGUGGUGGUGGAUGCAGGGCGUCACCGCAGCAGGGCUUCGCCGUUAUACUGCAAGAGGGAGAGGUGUAGCAGGGGAAAGGGAGGCGCCAAGACCCAAGGGUGCGGCUGCCCCUCCCUCCCCCCCUUUAUAUAGGCUCCCCUAGGGGGGCGUUGGCCCUAGGAGAUGGGAUCUCCUAAGGGGGGCGGCGGCCAAGGGUGGAGUAGCCCCCAAGGCAAGUGGGUUGCCCCCCCCCCACCCUAGGGUUUCCAACCCUAGGCGUAGUGGGUGGGCCUAAGGGGGCACACCAGCCCACUAUGGGCUGGUUCCCCUCCCCACUAUGGCCCAUGGGGCCCUCCGGGAUGGGUGGCCCCACCCGGUGGACCCCCGGGACCCUUCCGGUGGUCCCGGUACAAUACCGGUGACCCCGAAACUCUCCCGAUGGCCGAAACUGCACUUCCUAUAUAUAAUUCUUCACCUCCGGACCAUUCUGGAACUCUUCGUGACGUCCAGGAUCUCAUCCGGGACUCUGAACAACUUUCAGGUUACUGCAUAUUCAUAUCUCUACAACCCUAGCGUCACCGAACCUUAAGUGUGUAGACCCUACGGGUUCAGGAGACAUGUAGACAUGACCGAGACGACUCUCCGGUCAAUAACCAACAGCGGGAUCUGGAUACCCAUGUUGGCUCCCACAUGCUCCUCGAUGAUCUCAUUGGAUGAACCAUGAUGUCGAGGAUUCAAGCAACCCCGUAUACAAUUCCCUUUGUCAAUCGGUACGUUACUUGCCCGAGAUUCGAUCGUCGGUAUCCCAAUACCUCGUUCAAUCUCGUUAUCGGCAAGUCACUUUACUCGUACCGUAAUGCAUGAUCCCAUGACCAGACACUUGGUCACUUUGAGCUCAUUAUGAUGAUGCAUUACCGAGUGGGCCCAGAGAUACCUCUCCGUCAUACGGAGUGACAAAUCCCAGUCUUGAUCCGUGUCAACCCAACAGACACUUUCGGAGAUACCCGUAGUAUACCUUUAUAGUCACCCAGUUACGUUGUGACGUUUGGUAUACCCAGAGCACUCCUACGGUAUCCGAGAGUUACACGAUCUCAUGGUCUAAGGAAAAGAUACUUGACAUUGUAAAAACUCUAGCAAACGAACUAUACGAUCUUGUGCUAUGUUUAGGAUUGGGUCUUGUCCAUCACAUCAUUCUCCUAAUGAUGUGAUCCCGUUAUCAUUGACAUCCCCAUGUCCAUUGCCAGGAAACCAUGACUAUCUGUUGAUCAAUGAGCUAGUCAACUAGAGGCUCACUAGGGACACAUUGUGGUCUAUGUAUUCACACAUGUAUUAUGAUUUCCGGAUAAUACAAUUAAAGCAUGAACAAUAGACAAUUAUCAUGAACAAGGAAAUAUAAUAAUCAUUUUAUUAUUGCCUAUAGGGCAUAUUUCCAACAGUCUCCCACUUGCACUAGAGUCAAUCAUCUAGUUACAUUGUGAUGAAUCGAACACCCAUGGAAUUCUGGUGUUGAUCAUGUUUUGCUCUAGGGAGAGGUUUAGUUAACGGAUCUGCUACAUUCAGGUCUGUAUGUACUUUACAAAUCUCUAUGUCUCCAUUUUGAACACUUUCAUGAAUGGAGUUGAAGCGACGCUUGAUAUGCCUGGUCUUCCUGUGAAACCCGGGCUCCUUGGCAAGGGCAAUAGCUCCAGUGUUGUCACAGAAGAGAGUCAUCGGGCCCGAUGCAUUGGGUAUGACUCCUAGGUAGGUAAUGAACUCCUUCACCCAGACUGCUUCGUGUGCUGCCUCCGAGGCUGCCAUGUACUCCGCUUCACAUGUAGAUCCCGCCACAACGCUUUGCUUGCAACUGCACUAGCUUACUGCCCCACCAUUAAAAAUAUACACGUAUCUGGUUUGUGACUUAGAGUCAUCCAGAUCUGCGUCGAAGCUAGCGUCGACGUAACCCUUUACGACGAGCUCUUCGUCACCUCCAUAAACAAGAAACAUUUCCUUAGUCCUUUUCAGGUACUUCAGGAUAUUCUUGACCGCUGUCCAGUGUUCCUUGCCGGGAUUACUUUGGUACCUACCUACCAAACUUACGGCAAGGUUUACAUCAGGUCUGGUACACAGCAUGGCAUACAUAAUAGAACCUAUGGCUGAGGCAUAGGGGAUGACACUCAUCUCUUCUAUAUCUUCUGCUGUGGUCGGACAUUGAGCUGAGCUCAAUUUCACACCUUGCAACACAGGCAAGAACCCCUUCUUAGACUGAUCCAUAUUGAACUUCUUCAAUAUCUUAUCAAGGUAUGUACUUUGUGAAAGACCUAUGAGGUGUCUUGAUCUAUCUCUAUAGAUCUUGAUGCCUAAUAUAUAAGCAGCUUCUCCAAGGUCCUUCAUUGAAAACUCUUAUUCAAGUAGGCCUUAGUGCUGUCCAAAAGCUCUAUAUCAUUUCCCAUCAAAAGUAUGUCAUCUACAUAUAAUAUGAGAAAUGCUAUAGAGCUCCCACUCACUUUCUUGUAAACGCAGGCUUCUCCAUAAGUCUGCAUAAACCCAAACGCUUUGAUCAUCUCAUCAAAGCGAAUGUUCCAACUCCGAGAUGCUUGCACCAACCCAUAAAUCAAGCGUUGGAGCUUGCACACCUUGUCAGCAUUCUUAGGAUCGACAAAACCUUCCGGCUGCAUCAUAUACAGUUCUUCCUUAAGAUAACCGUUAAGGAAUGCCGUUUUGACGUCCAUUUGCCAUAUCUCAUAAUCAUAGUAUGCGGCAAUUGCUAACAUGAUUAGGACGGACUUCAGCUUUGCUACAGGAGAGAAUGUCUCAUCGUAGUCAACCCCUUGAACUUGUCGAUAACCCUUAGCGACAAGCCUAGCUUUAUAGAUGGUCACAUUACCAUCCGCGUUUGUCUUCUUCUUAAAGAUCCAUUUAUUUUCUAUGGCUCGCCGAUCAUCGGGCAAGUCAGUCAAAGUCCAUACUUCGUUUUCAUACAUGGAUCCUAUCUCGGAUUUCAUGGCUUCCAGCCAUUUGUCGGAAUCCGGGCCCGCCAUUGCUUCUUCAUAGUUCGAAGGUUCACCGUUGUCUAACAACAUGAUUUCCAAGACAGGGUUGCCGUACCACUCUGGUGCGGAACGUGUCCUUGUGGACCUUCGAAGUUCAGUAGGAGCUUGAUCAGAAGUAUCUUGAUCAUCAUCAUUAACUUCCUCUCUAAUUGGAGCAGGCACCACAGGAACAUUUUCUCGAGCUGCUCUACUCUCCGGUUCAAGAGGCAAUCCUUCAUCAAGUUCUACUUUCCUCCCACUUACUUCUUUCUAGAGAAACUCUUUCUCUAGAAAGGAUCCACUCUUGGCAACAAAGAUCUUGCCUUCGGAUCUGUCGGAUUUCGGGUUCUGGCAGACCCUUGAGGUUCGAACUCUGGGGUGCGCGCGGAGAUUUCGCCUCCUACCUACCUGCACCCCUCCACCUCGCUAAGAUAUAAACUAUGGAAAGAACAACACAAGAGACACAGGGUUUAUACUGGUUCGGGCCACCGUUGUGGUGUAAUACCCUACUCCAGUGUGUGGUGUGGUGGAUUGCCUCUUGGGCUGAUGAUGAUGAACAAUACAAGGAAGAACGGCCUCGCGAGGGUCUGUUCUUGGCUGGGGCGAUGAACUGCUGGGAGGAGUUCAGUCACCUUUCUCUCUCUCUUUCUCUGAUCGAAACCCCUCUCUAAAGAGCCUCCUCCUUCUCAGCAGCCCCCUCUUGCGAGUGGCUGAUCCUAUUUAUAGAGGCCCUGGUCCUCUUUCCAAAUAUCGAGCGGGAAGGGAGCCAACAAUGGCGGGCUAAUCUGAAAGGGGACAGCUAGUACCAGCUACCCUGACAAAAGUAGUCUUCGCCUGCACAAAGCUCUGGUGAUGACGCUGUCUCGGCUCCACGAUGACCUCCGUCUUGUAGUCCUCAUGGUCUUGGUCUCGUUGCACCAAAAUGGCAACCUUUUCCUGAUGCCUCGGUACUCCGCGACUGCGCUUGCCACCUUUGCACCAAAGAGGAAAGGAGGACACUGCGUGGGCUGGCACCCGCCUGGCGCCCUUGGUUGUCAUGGCUUGUGUCACGGGCACCUCGUGAGGUACCCCGCCUUGGUCUCUCCGCCUCCUCGUGAGCCAGCCUGAUGAGGCCGUGCCUGAGGAAGCUCCGCGUCGUCCGCCCCGCGAGGCUUGGCCCCUCGCGAGGGUCUUGGUUUUGUGUUGGUGAAGAUGGGCCGCGCUGGGCCCCCUUUUGAGCCACACCGCAGGCCACAAGCAGGCAAGUCUGGGGACCCCCGUUCCCAGAACACCGACAGGAUCUGAGGUAGAAGGUAUACCCAAUAGUUUCCUUAGGGUAUCCUAUGAAGACGCAUUUUUCCGAUUUGGGUUUGAGCUUUUCAGGUUGAAGUUUCUUGACAUAAGCAUCGUAUCCCCAAACUUUCAAAAACGAAAGCUUAGAUUUCUUUCCAAACCACAAUUCAUACGGUGUCGUCUCAACGGAUUUCGACGGAGCCCUAUUUAAAGUGAAUGCGGCAGUCUCUAUAGCGUAACCCCAAAAUGAUAGCGGUAGAUCGGUAAGAGACAUCAUAGAUCACACCAUAUCCAAUAGAGUGCGAUUACGAUGUUCAGACACACCAUUACGCCGAGGUGUUCCAGGCGGCGUGAGUUGUGAAACAAUUCCAGAUUUCCUUAAGUGUGUGCCAAAUUCGUGACUCAAAUAUUCCCCUCCACGAUCUGAUCGUAAGAACUUUAUUUUCCUGUCACGUUGAUUCUCAACCUCACUCUGAAAUUCCUUGAACUUUUCAAAGGUCUCAGACUUGUGUUUCAUCAAGUAGACAUACCCAUAUCUACUUAAGUCAUCAGUGAGGGUGAGGACAUAAUGAUAACCACCACGAGCCUCAACACUCAUUGGACCGCACACAUCAGUAUGUAUGAUUUCCAAUAAGUUGGUUGCUCGCUCCAUUGUUCCAGAGAACGGGGUCUUGGUCAUUUUGCCCAUGAGGCAUGCUUCGCACAUGUCAAAUUAUUCAUAAUCAAGAGACUCCAAAACUCCAUCUGCAUGGAGUUUCUUCAUGCGUUUGACACCAAUGUGACCAAGGCGGCAGUGCCACAAGUAUGUGGGACUAUCAUUAUCAACCUUACAUCUUUUGGCAUUCACACUAUGAAUAUGUGUAACAUCACGCUCGAGAUUAAAUAAGAAUAAACCAUUAACCAGCAGGGCAUGACCAUAAAACAUGUCUCUGACAUAAGCAUCGUAUCCCCAAACUUUCAAAAACGAAAGCUUAGAUUUCUUUCCAAACCACAAUUCAUACGGUGUCGUCUCAACGGAUUUCGACGGAGCCCUAUUUAAAGUGAAUGCGGCAGUCUCUAUAGCGUAACCCCAAAAUGAUAGCGGUAGAUCGGUAAGAGACAUCAUAGAUCACACCAUAUCCAAUAGAGUGCGAUUACAAUGUUCAGACACACCAUUACGCCGAGGUGUUCCAGGCGGCGUGAGUUGUGAAACAAUUCCAGAUUUCCUUAAGUGUGUGCCAAAUUCGUGACUCAAAUAUUCCCCUCCACGAUCUGAUCGUAAGAACUUUAUUUUCCUGUCACGUUGAUUCUCAACCUCACUCUGAAAUUCCUUGAACUUUUCAAAGGUCUCAGACUUGUGUUUCAUCAAGUAGACAUACCCAUAUCUACUUAAGUCAUCAGUGAGGGUGAGGACAUAAUGAUAACCACCACGAGCCUCAACACUCAUUGGACCGCACACAUCAGUAUGUAUGAUUUCCAAUAAGUUGGUUGCUCGCUCCAUUGUUCUAGAGAACGGGGUCUUGGUCAUUUUGCCCAUGAGGCAUGCUUCGCACAUGUCAAAUUAUUCAUAAUCAAGAGACUCCAAAACUCCAUCUGCAUGGAGUUUCUUCAUGCGUUUGACACCAAUGUGACCAAGGCGGCAGUGCCACAAGUAUGUGGGACUAUCAUUAUCAACCUUACAUCUUUUGGCAUUCACACUAUGAAUAUGUGUAACAUCACGCUCGAGAUUAAAUAAGAAUAAACCAUUAACCAGCAGGGCAUGACCAUAAAACAUGUCUCAUAUAAAUAGAACAACCAUUAUUCUCAGAUUUAAAUGAGUAGCCAUCUCGCAUUGAACGAGAUCCAGAUACAAUGUUCAUGCUCAAAGCUGGUACUAAAUAACAAUUAUUGAGGUUUAAAACUAAUCAUGUAGGUAAAUGUAGAGGUAGCGUGCCGACGAUGAUCACAUCGACCUUGGAACCAUUCCCGACGCGCAUCGUCACCUCGUCCUUCGCCAGUCUCCGCUUAUUCCACAUAUCAUGUUUUGAGUUAAAAAUAUGAGCAACUGCACCAGUAUCAAAUACCCAAGAGAUACUACGAGCGCUAGUUAGGUACACAUCAAUAACAUGUAUAUCGCAUAUACCUUUGGUAUUGCGGGCCUUCUUAUCCGCUAAGUACUUGAUGCAGUUCCGCUUCCAGUGACCGUUUCCCUUGCAAUAAAAGCACUCAGUCUCAGGCUUGGGUCCAUGCUUUGGCUUCUUCCCGGCAACUGGCUUACCGGGCGCGGCAACUCCCUUGUCGUCCUUCUUGAAGUUCUUCUUACCCUUGUCUUUCUUGAACUUAGUGGUUUUAUUCACCAUCAACACUUGAUGUUCCUUUUUGAUCUCCACCUCCGCUGAUUUCAGCAUUGAAUAUACCUCAGGAAUGGUCUUUUCCAUCCCCUGCAUAUUGAAGUUCAUCACAAAUCUCUUGUAGCUAGGUGGGAGCGACUGAAGGAUUCUGUCAACGACUGCAUCAUCCGGGAGAUUAACUCCCAGUUGAGAUAAGCGGUUGUGCAACGCAGACAUUUUGAGUAUGUGCUCGCUGAUAGAACUAUUCUCCUCCAUCUUACAACUGUAGAACUUGUCGGAGACUUCAUAUCUCUCGACCCGGGCAUGAUCUUGGAAAACCAUUUUCAGCUCUUGGAACAUCUCAUAUGCUCCGUGCUGCUCAAAACGCUUUUGGAGCCCCGAUUCUAAGCUGUCAAGCAUGCCGCACUGAACCAGGGAGUAAUCAUCACUACACGACUGCCAGGCGUUCAUAAUGUCUUGAGUUGCUGGGAAAACAGGUGCUUCACCUAGCGGUGCAUCAAGGACAUAUGCUUUCUUGGAAGCUAUGAGGAUAAUCCUCAGGUUACGGACCCAGUCCGUGUAGCUGCUGCCACUGUCUUUCAGCUUGGUUUUCUCUAGGAACGCAUUGAAGUUGAGGGCAACAUUAGCGUGGGCCAUUUGAUCUACAAGACAUAUUGCAAAGUUUUAGACUAUGUUCAUGAUAAUUAAGUUCAUCUAAUCAAAUUAUUUAAUGAACUCCCACUCAGAUUGACAUCCCUCUAGUCAUCUAAGUGAUACAUGAUCCGAGUCAACUAGGCCGUGUCCGAUCAUCACGUGAGACGGACUAGUCAUCAUCGGUGAACAUCUUCAUGUUGAUCGUAUCUUCUAUACGACUCAUGUUUGACCUUUCAGUCUUCCGUGUUCCGAGGCCAUGUCUGUACAUGCUAGGCUCGUCAAGUCAACCUAAGUGUAUUGCCUAUGUAAAUCUGGCUUACACCCAUUGUAUGCGAAUGUUAGAACCUAUCACACCCGAUCAUUAUGUGGUGCUUUGGAACAACGGACCAUAGCAACGGUGCACAGUUAUGAGGAACACUUUCUUGAAAUUAUUGUGAGGGAUCAUCUUAUUUAUGCUACCGUCGUUCUAAGCAAAUGAGAUGCAAAACAUGAUAAACAUCACAUGAAAUCAAAUAGUGGCAUGAUAUGUCCAAUAUCAUUUUGCUCCUUUUUGAUCUCCAUCUUCAGGGCGCCAUGAUCAUCAUCGUCACCAGCAUGACACCAUGAUCUCCAUCAUCGUGUCUUCAUGAAGUUGUCUCACCAACUAUUACUUCUACUACUAUAGCUAACGGUUAGCAAUAAAGUAAAGUAAUUACAUGGCGUUUUCAUUGACACUCAGGUCGUACAAUAAAUUAAGACAACUCCUAUGGCUCCUGCCGGUUGUCAUACUCAUCGACAUGCAAGUCGUGAUUCCUAUUACAAGAACAUGAUCAAUCUCAUACAUCACAUAUAUCAUCCAUAACAUCCUUUUGGCCAUAUCACAUCACACGGCAUAUGCUGCAAGAACAAGUUAGACGUCCUCUAAUUGUUGUUGCAAAUUUUUACGUGGCUGCUAUAGGUUUCUAGCAAUAACGUUCUUACCUACGCCAAAACCACAACGUGAUAUGCCAAUUUCUAUUUACCCUUCAAAAUGAACCUUUUCAUCGAAUCCGAUCCGACUAAAGUGGGAGAGGCAGACAACCGCUAGCCACCUUAUGCAACUAGUGCAUGUCAGUCGGUGGAACCUGUCUCACGUAAGUGUACGUGUAAGGUCGGUCCGGGCCGCUUCAUCCCAUGAUGCCGCCGAAUCAAGAUAAGAUUAGUAAUGGCAAGUAAAUUGACAAAAUCGAUGCCCACAACAACUUGUGUUCUACUCGUGCAUAGAAACUACGCAUAGACCUAGCUCAUGAUGCCACUGUUGGGGAUCGUAGCAGAAAUUUAAAAUUUUCUACGCAUCACCAAGAUCAAUCUAUGGAGUCAUCUAGCUACGAGAGAGAGAGGAGUGCAUCUACAUACCCUUGUAUAUCGCGAGCGGAAGCGUUCAAGAGAACGGGGUUGAUGGAGUCGUACUCGUCGUGAUCCAAAUCAUCGAUGAUCCUAGCGUCGAACGGAUGGCACCUCCGCGUUCAACACACGUACGGAGCGGAGACGUCUCCUCCUUCUUGAUCUAGCAAGGGGGGAGGAGAAGUUGAUGGAGAUCCAGCAGCACGACAGCGUGGUGGUGGAAGUAGCGGGAUUCCAGCAGGGCUUCGCCAAGUGCUACUUGAGGAGGAAGAGGUGUCACGGGAGGGAGAGGGAGGCGCCAGGGCUUAGGGUGCGGCUGCCCUCCCUCCCCUCCACUAUAUAGAGGGGCUAGGGGGCACAUGCGGCCUUGGAGAUCCCAUCUAGAGGGGGGGCGGUGGCCCCCUGGGCGGCGGCCCCUCGGGGGGCAACGACCCCCUUAGGGUUUCCAUCCGGGGGGCGCAUGCCCCCUUGGGGGGCAACGCCCCCCUAGGGUUUCCAACCCUAGGUGCCUUGGGCCCUUGGGUGGGGCGCACCAGCCCACCAGGGGCUGGUUCCCAUGCCACUUCAUCCCAUGGGGCCCUCCGGGAUAGGUGGCCCCACCCGGUGGACCCCCGGGACCCUUUCGGUGGUCCCCGAAACUCUCCCGGUGGCUGAAACUGGACUUCCUAUAUAUAAAUCUUUACCUCCGGACCAUUCCGGAACUCCUCGUGACGUCCAGGAUCUCAUCAGGGAGUCCGAACAACUUUUGGUUAACCGCAUACUAAUAUCUCUACAACUCUAGCGUCACCGAACCUUAAGUGUGUAGACCCUACGGGUUCGGGAACUAUGUAGACAUGACCGAGACAUCUCUCCGGCCAAUAACCAAUAGCGGGAUCUGGAUACCCAUGUUGGCUCCCACAUGUUCCACGAUGAUCUCAUCGGAUGAACCACGAUGUCAAGGAUUCAAUCAAUCCCGUAUACAAUUCCCUUUAUCUAUCGAUAUAGCACUUGCCCGAGAUUCGAUCCUCGGCAUACCGAUACCUUGUUCAAUCUCGUUAUGGCAAGUCUCUUUACUCGUUCCAUAACACAUCAUCCCGUGACCAACCCCUUAGUCACAUUGAGCUCAUUACGAUGAUGUCUUACCGAGUGGGCCCAGAGAUACCUCUCCGUCAUACAGAGUGACAAAUCCCAGUCUCGAUUCGUGCCAACCCAACAGAUACUUUCGGGGAUACCUGUAGUGUACCUUUAUAGCCACCCAGUUACGUUGUGACGUUUGGCACACCCAAAGUACUCCUAGGUAUCCGGGAGUUUCACAAUCUCAUGGUCUAAGGAAAAGAUACUUGACAUUCGAAAAGCUUUAGCAGACGAACUACACGAUCUUGUGCUAGGCUUAGGAUUGGGUCUUGUCCAUCACAUAAUUCUCCUAAUGAUGUGAUCCUUUUAUCAAUGACAUCCAAUGUCCAUGGUCAGGAAACCGUAAUCAUCUAUUGAUCAACGAGCUAGUCAACUAGAGGCUCACUAGGGACACAUUGUGGUCUAUGUAUUCACACACGUAUUGCUGUUUCCGGAUAAUACAAUUAUAGCAUGAACAAUAGAAAAUUAUCAUGAACAAGGAAAUAUAAUAAUAACCAUUUUAUUAUUGCCUCUAGGGCAUAUUUCCAACAAGAAUGACGUCUGAGCCGGAAGGAUGAAUUCUAGGAUCUGAUUGAGGAUUGCGAGCAUACGCAACAUAUUGUAUCAACGGACUCAAAAUGAUAAUGACAAAGUCUGACAAUAAGAUUACUAGACUUAUGGUAUUAACCAUAAUGCAAGCAAGCAAGAAAUUCAAGAACAAUAGGUUGUUGAGGAUUUUCACAAGAACGAAUGGUAUUACAAAGACUUUUGUAAAGUACAAGAAUCAACUGAGGAUGAGCGGAUACUCAAUAGGUGCACAAAGUUAUCCUUAGGGGUAUUCAGAUGACAAGGAACUGCAAGGCAGUAAGCUCAAAGGAUUCUCGGAAAAAGGAGAGCAGUCCAGGGCAUCUUGUAAUAACAAGAUCAAUGGGAUAGAAUGUAAGAUUGGUAAGUGUGUGUAGUUAUCCAUAAGGAUAUUUCGGUGGUAAGGAAUUGCAAAGGCAACAGGCACAAAGUCUCGAGAGAAUAUCGUAGAGUAUCUUCGGAAUCUUCUGAUGCAGCAGGCGAUCAUCUGAAAUAAGGGGCUCUCCGGGCGGAUGUGAUCACGAGAUCCUAAUGUUCGAGUUAGUAAAACCAUUUAACCCGAAUAGAAGAGAGAUCAGAGUCCUAGAGUAUAGACGAGGAAUAAAAGAUACUAAUACCACCCAAAUGGCGACGUGGGCCCGUAAGACACAUAGCCAUGUUAGUAAAAGUUUUUGUAGUGACUAGACUCAACUUCGGCCAAGGAGUUGGAAAGGGGGCUACCUACAGGCAGUCGGCUCUGAUACCAACUUGUGACGCCCUCGAUUCAAUCGUACACUAAUCAUACACUCAAAUGUGUACGAUCGAAAUCAAGGACUCGCGGGAGGAUAUCACAACACAACUCUAGACACAAAUUAAAAUAAUAUAAGCUUUAUAUUACAAGCCAGGGGCCUCGAGGGCUCGAAUACACAAGAGUCGGAGGAAGCAACAAUAUCUGAGUACAGACAUGAGUUAGACAAGUUUGCCUUAAGAAGGCUAGCACAAAAGCAACAACGAUCGAAAAGGCAAGGCCUCCUGCCUAGGAGCCUCCUAACUACUCCUGGUCAUCGGCGGUCUCCACGUAGUAGUAGGCACCCUCGGGGUAGUAGGAGUCGUCGGUGGUGUCGUCUGGAUCCUCGGCUCCACCAUCUGGUCACAACAAUCGGGUAUGGGGGGAAAGAGGUAGCAAAGCAGCCGUGAGUACUCAUCCAAAGUACUCGCAAGACUUACAUCAGAUCUAAACUAAGUAUGCAUCUGUAUCAAAGGAAAUGGGUUGUAUCUGUGGACUAAACUGCAGAAUGCCAGUAGAGAAGGGGAAAUCCUAUCCUAUCAAAGACUAGCAUCUUCAAGCAUCUUGCAGCAUAUAGAAGAGUACAGAUUAACAUAAUGUAAAAUAGGCAGUGUUAUCAACCUCAGCCAGAGAUCCUUUCUCGACUCCGUGCGAGAAAGCAAUCCCAGAGCCAUACUAUCCAUUUCUCAUAUCCAUUUCUCAUCUCCAUUUAUCAUCUCAAGUAUCCAGUUCUAGUUGUAUCGAUCGGGAUACAACUCCAAGUGUCCGUUACCGUAGGACAGGCUACCGAUAGAUAUUUUCUUCCUUGCAGGGGUGCACCAACUUACCCACCACGCUCGAUUAACUCUGACCGGACACACUUUCCUGGGUCAUGUACGGCCUCGGCCAAACAAUACGCCGCAGCCCGACCUAGGCUUAAUAGAGAGGCCAGCACGCCGGACUAAACCUAUGCCCCAAGGGGUCAUGGGCCAUCGCCCCGGGAACUCCUGCACGUUGCGUGGGCCGCCGGUGAGCAGACCUAGCUACCUCCUUCAAAAGGCAGGUGCUUACGCAGUCCAACCCAGCGCGCGCCGCUCAGUCGCUGAUGUCUAUUAAGCUUCGGCUGAUGUAUACGGCGCAGAACGCCCAUACUAUGCCCACAUGAUGGUUAGUACUAUUAGGCCAGAGGCCUCGCGGAUCAAAUAUCCAAAUCGUUGUGGAUUAGGAACGCACGGUAACAAGCAGAGACUCACAAAAGAUGUGACCCCGUCGCCCCGUCUCGAGUACUUGCGGCAAGGGCUAAGAAUGCCCUGCCACGCCUCGUAAGUAUCUCGCGGGCACCUUCCAGGUCAACCCGACUCCACAUCCCUCGCUAUUAAGCUUGCGCGGGUACCCCUCAGGGCCGACCCGUCUUUAGUAACAUGGUUCAGUGUAAAGUCGUAGUAAUCAUAGUAACUGGGUGUCUAACACCAAGGGGAAAACCCGAGGAAUCACCCCCGGUGAAUUCCACUCGAUGUUAUCAUCAAGGUGAACGUAAGAGGAUCCACCCUCGAGGCUCACACUUGAGGGGUUGCACGACGGAGCCGUAACGGAAGUGGUUAAGGAGGAAAUCACCCUCGAUGACCUCGACCAUAUAGCUACACUACAGAGUUCUCAUCAGGAGUGAUGUAAGAGGUUCCACCCUCGGCACUCGAUGGUAACUCUGCAGAGCCGUACAACUAAGGGGGUGAUGUGCGGUGCCGGAGCCUGGACGUCGAUCAUGUUGAUCGAGUCAUCGAAGAUAAAGCGAGGGAACUGGGACAAGGUGGGGUCACUGAUGGAUCUCUAACCAACCUAUACUAAGAAGUUUAGGAUAAGCAGGUAAGGUAUGAAAGCAGGUAACAAAACAGGCUAUGCAUCAGAGUAGGAUCAUACGUAAAGCAGUAGCAGUUCUAAUGCGAGCAUGAGAGGGAAAGAAAUGGGCGAUAUCGGAAUGCUCAAGGGGGUUUGCUUGCCUGGAAGCUCUGCUGAAAAGGAAGAAGUGUCGCCGUCGACGUAGUCGAUCACAGGGGCAGCAUCGGUCUCGGGGUCUACCGGAGAGAAGAGGGGGAAGGAAAAAUAAAUAUAAAGCAAACAAAGCAUCACAAAGCAUAACAUGGCAAAAAGUUGCGCCGGGUGUGACCUAACGUAUGGCCGGUUCCGGACCUGUGUCAAACAGAUGACCGGAGGGGGAAUGUUCCAUGUUCAUAUAGUUAGUGGCAUCCGAUAGGUAAAUGUACCGUGCAUUCGGAUUCGUUGGAUUUUUCUGAGCAACUUUCAUAUAGAAACCAUUUUCAUCGGAGUUACUGUUUAUUUUCUAUGAAUUAUUAAAGUUUUUAAACAUUUUUCUGGAUUUUCUGAAAUCAUUGUUAUUUCAAAAUAAAAGGUUAAAUUGCUAUGUGCACCCAGUAGAGUGCACACAGCAAGGCCACCAGAGGCUGACAGUGGGUCCAGGGGAUCCCAGUUGACUAGUCAACGUUUGACUGGUCAACAGGGGGUGGGGCCCGCUGUCAUUGACUGAUUUAACUAGUUGCAGUUUUAAAAUAACUAAUCUACUUCAUUAGGUUAAUUAAGAUUAAUUAAUUAAGUUAAUUAACCAUUUAAUUAAUUAAGUUAAUUAACCAUUUAAUUAAUUAAGUUAAUUGACCAUUUAAUCACUUAAUUUAUUAAUAUAUAUUUUUACAAUUACAAUUAUUAUUAUUUUAAAGUAAACAGGGUCGUGGGGCCCCAGUGCCAUAGGCCCAGGCCACAAGCGGGCACUGGGCGCUGGGCGCCGUCCCUACUGGGUGCUGGCCUAGGCCAGCCGGGGCUGCGGCAGGGGCACGAGCGGGCGUCCCGGCGACGGCGGCCGGACGACGCGGGGUGCGGUGGAGCGCGGGCAGGCGGCGAGCGGCAGGGCCGCAAGCGCGGGCGCGGGGAGAGCGUUGGCACGGCCGGCCGGAGCGGCCCUAGGCGGCGACGAGCAGGGGGCGGCGCUCGUGGCGACGGCCUACAGCGGCAGCAGUAACCAGGCAGCAGCGCGGGCGGGCUCGCGGCCAGGAAGCGCGCUGGGCGUUAGGGGCGCAUGCAGCAGGUGAGAGGCGAGCGCGGGGAAGAAGCAGCGAGCGAGGGUGCGGUCAAGGCCAUGGCCUGCACACGACGACGACGGGAGCACAAGCAAGUAGCGAUGGCAGCGGGCGCACGUGCUCGAGGGGAGUAGGGCGCGACGGCAGCGGCGGGGCGGCUGGUGGUGCGGGAGCGCGCAUGGGGGCGUGGCUGGGUACAACCGGUCACGGCCAAAGGUGCGACGAGCGUGGCCAGGGGGCGCGCGCGAGCGAAGCUCCGGCCUCGACGGUGGAAUGGCGACCUACGGUGACUAAUCGAGGGGCAACCAGGGGGAACGGGGAGAUGAGCUCACCGCGGUUCUGGUGGUGUGCUCGAGUUGGCCGGGGAUGCACCAGUGGUGGAUAUCGAUGACCACGAGUGGCGGACACCGAGGAUGAAGUCGUGGUCGAUCCGCUUGAUACUGGGGCAUUGAGCUCGAUUUUGUCUUCGUAGGUGAUGUAGCUGGGCGCGAAGGAGGUCCAGGACAAGGUCCUAGUCGGCGGUGAGCUUAGUGUACACGCGGACGUCGAGGUCCAUGGUGACAGUAGUGAGGCCGAGCUUGGGAUCGAGGGGAGCAGCAUGAGGGGAGGAAAGUCAGGGGCUAGGGUUCAUCGACGGGGGCUCAAGGAGAUCUCAUCCAUGCCAGAGCGACAGCAGAUGGCCGACGCGUGCGGAUGGCGUGGCCACGGCCAGCGGAUGGCCGCCACGCUUCCAAGUCUCCUGUAGUGAGGUGGGAGGAAAGGUGGAGGUGGGCUGGGCUGGCCCUUUAGAUUAAUGGGCCAAAGUGCCCAGAAGAUUAGGUCCUACUCCUUAUUUUUGUUUUCUUUUCUGUUUUUCUCUAAUUCUUUUCUACUUUGCAUUUUAUUCUAAAAUCAGUUUGACUUUUGUUGAAUCUAAAAAUGGGCACAUAAAUAGCAUACCACAUUUUGAGCUAUCAAAAAUAGUUUCAACUCAUCAUGAAAUGUUUAACAAUUUGUUUAAAUUGAAAAAGCUCAAUUUAACGGUGUUGGUUCUGUUUAAAUGAAGAAAGGGAAUUUUAAUAAUAAGAAGAAUCAUUGCUUUCUUCAUGAAAAUUAGUUUGUGAAAUUUGGCAACCCAACGAACAUUUUUAAUUUACUGUUCGAAGAAAAAAAGUUGGACUUGUUAUUUGAAUUUUGAAUUUUACUCGGUUUUGGACUAACGCGAGAUUAACAACAGUAAUCAUGGUGACGUGGCAUCAUUAAGGUGGGAUUAUUGUAGCCUAAUUAUCCGGGCAUCACACACACCAGCCUGUCCCUGUCAGAAUCAUCGCCAUGGAUCAUCACCACUGAUGAUUUGUGAUAGUUUAUCUUGAGGCCCGACGCAUCUCCAAACAUCUUUAAAGCCUCUCUAACAAACCUUACGUCCACCUCAAAAGGCUUAACAAACAUAGCCACAUCAUCCGCAUAUAUAGAUACAGUAUGUGUCGCUGAGACCCCAGAGUCUACAACUUUCAUCAUGAUCUUGGAAAGAACAUCCAUUGCGAUGACAGACAGAAGGGGAGAGACAUGGUCUCCUUGCCGUAACCCUUGCAUAUGUUGGAAGCUUCUUCCUGGGAUCCCGUUAACAAUCACUUUUGUGGUUGCCGUCCUGAGCAGGAUAGAUAUCCAUGACAACCAUUUACACACAAAGCCUUUGUGUCUCAUUACCUCAAAGAGGAAUGGCCAAGCAAUCGAAUUGAAAGCUCUCGAGAUAUCGAGUUUCAGAAAAACUGUGGCCUCCUUACGGGCGUGAAUCUUCCCCGCUACUUGCCAAACCAGAAGGAAAUUAUAAUGGAGGUGCCUUCCGCAAAUGAAGGGAAAUUGGUUAACGGCCAUGGUCUCUGACAUUCUGCGCCUAGCGCGAUUGGCAAGCAUCUUCGCGAAUAGUUUGGCAGCACUGUGAGUCGGGCUUAUCGGGCGGAAUUCACCCACCACCUCCGCGUCCGGUUUCUUCGGGAUCAGUACAAUAUGCGUUGUCAACUUGCCAAAUCCCCUCCCACCCCCACAUACAACUUAAUUAUCACGGCCAUUAGGUCAUUCUUGACAAUGGGCCAAGCCUUCUGGUAGAAAGCAGGGAUAAACCCAUCUGGUCUAGGCGCACGAUCAAGCGGCAUAUCUUUAAUCGUAUCCCAAACUUCCUCCUCGGUAAAGAUCGCAUCCAGAUCCGAAAGAUCGUGCCUGUCCAACUCCAGAAAAUCUAGGUUCAGGUCCGCCUCUCUUGUGGACGCAUGGCCUAGAAGGUGCUCAAAGGCCUCCGUAAAAACCUCCUCCUUCCUCUGUUGAUCCGUGAUCAAUUCAUUAUUAUGCCUAAUGUGCUGGAUGAAAUUCUUCGAUCUGCAUCCAUUCGCCACGGCUUGAAAUAGCCUGGUAUUAGCAUCUCCUUCCCGAAUCCAGCGUAAACGCAAUUGCUGCCGCUCAAUGGUGCGCUACAAAGAUGACAAACCUAGCAAUGUGUGCUUUAGAGUUCUCCUUAGCCAUCUUUCUUCAAUCGUGAGAACCCAAGCCUCCAUGGCACGAUCCAUCUUCAGGAUGAUGUAGUUCGCAAUGGCCAUUUGAGUUUUAAUGUGUCCAGACUUCCUUUGCCCCCAUGAUUGUAAGGCUGUCGCGGUGUUGCAAAGGAGGGAGUCAAGCCUCUUGAAAGGAUCGACAAUAUCAUCAUCGCACACCCAGGCCUCUCUAACUGCCUGCUCAAACCCUUGGAGUCUCAUCCAGAACAUCUCAAAACGAAACCUUCUCUUCACGUAGAACGGGGCCUACGUGGUCAGGUGGAGCGGGGCAUGAUCCUAAAUAUUCGAGGAGAGGGCUUGCAGUAGAACGUCCGGAAAGUUAAGCUCCCAAUCAACGGAAACAAGCACUCUAUCGAUUUUAGUCAUCACCAGUUGUUCCCUCUCGUUAGUCCACGUGAAACGCCACCCAUGCAUGUAGACUUCUUUGAGCUCACAAUUAUCCACGAACUCCUUAAACUUCCUCAUGAUCCACCGGUUAAGAUUAUUGUUGCUCUUCUCCUCUGCAUGAAGGAUCAUAUUAAAUUCUCCAAGUAGCAACCAAGGGCCCGGCCAUAUUAAAGUCAACCGAGGGGCUCAAUGCGUGCUCUUGUAGUCAAAGGGUCUCCAAGUUAAGAUUAUUACGACGAGGGGCUCACACCACGGAGACAUUUCCGUUGAUUACGACUAUGGUGACUUAGUGAGAGGAUACAUAUCUGAUAGAAGUAUUAACUAAUAUUAGAGUUCGCCAUUGCUCCCUCCGUGAGGCGCUCCCGCGGGAGGCCCCGGGAGGAAACCCUAGUGCUGCCCCUCCACUCCCCUCGCCUCAACCCCCUCCCUCGCUGCCGCCUGGGGCGUCGCCGGCCAAAGAUCGUGUGGCGUUGGCGGCGGGGGGGCUCUCCCGCAUGAUGUUAGGGGCUUCGCGGGGUGCCUCCCCUCUGCCUGGUGGUGCUGGGCAUCAGGCCAGCCCUACCCCGGCUCCUUCUCCCCCUCCCGGCGUCCUUCGGUCGCUGGCGCCGCCUCCUCCCCUCCCUCCGGCGCGGCGUGGGCAUAGCUCGGGCUCCGGUGCCCAGGUGCGGGCUGGUGGCGGAUCUCGCCCCUGCCCCGUUCUAGAUGGUGGUGGUUAGCGGGGGCUGUGGAUUUGGGAUUCCCUACCCAGAUCCGGUGGAUGGUGAGGGUUUGUGUUGGCAGGGGUGGCCGACAGCCCUGAUGAGGUGGUGGUGAUGCAGCUAGUGUCCCCGCUGCUUCGGGUGGAUCUGGCCAGGGCGUGGAGGCGUUGGUGUUGUGGUGGUGGCAGAUCGGUUGGGGUGGUGGCUGGUUUUUUCCGGCAUCGGCCCGUCUGUAGGCGGUCUGUGUCGGCCUUCGACCCUUUCUCCCGUUGAAGGGGUCGUCUAAUCCCAGAUGCGGUCCAUCGCUCAUCUCAUGCUCGGUGCUGCAGGAUUGAGCUCAUCUCGUGCCUGGCAGCGGGACUGGCCUCAUCUCGUGCCCGGCAGCAGCAUCGAGCUCAUCUCGCGCCCGGUAGCAAGACUAUGCUCGUCUCGGGCCUGACGACGGGACCGAGCUCGUCUCGCGCCCGGUGCAGCAGGACAGGUCGAUGGGAGGCCAGUUUUGGCUGGCCUAGUGGGUCACAACACUUGGGGGUGUUGGGGAACGUAGCAUGCAAUUUCAAAAAAAUUCCUACGAUCACGCAAGAUCUAUCUAGGAGAUGUAGAGAAACGAGAGGGGGGAGAGUGUGUCCACGUACCCUCGUAGACCGAAAGCGGAAGCAUUAGGUUAACGCGGUUGAUGUAGUCGAACGUCUUCACAAUCCAACAGAUCCAAGUAUCGAACGUACGGCACCUCCGUGUUCAGCACACGUUCAACUCGAUGAUGUCCCUCGAACUCUUGAUCUAGUAGAGGGUCGAGGGAGAGUUCCGUCAGCACGACGGCAUGGUGACGGUGAUGGUGAUGUGAUCCGUGCAGGGCUUCUCCUAAGCACUACGACAAUAUGACCGGAGUAGUAAGCUAUGGAGGGGGGCACCGCACACGGCUAAGAAACUGUUGUGUUUUGGGGGUGCCCCCCGCCCCCGUAUAUAAAGGAGAGGGGGAUGAGGUGGCCAGCCUAGGAGAGGCGUGCCAAGGGGGGAGUCCUACUAGGACUCCGCUCCUAGUAGGAUUCGCCCCCCCUUCCUUCCAACGAAGAGGGGAAAGGGGAAAGAGGGGAGAGGGAGAAGGAAAGGAGGGCUGCGCCCCACCCCUUGUCCAAUUCAGAUUGGGCUUGGGAGGGGGGGCGCCACCUCCUAUGGAUGCCUUCUCCUCUCCACUAUGGCCAAUUAGGCCCAUUAACUUUCCCGAGGGGUUCCGGUAACCUCCCGGUACUCCAAAAAAUCCCCAAACCUCUUCGGAACCAUUCCGGUGUCCGUAUAUAACCUUCCAAUAUAUGAAUAUUUACCUCUCGACCAUUUCAAGACUCCUCGUCGUGUCCGUGAUCUCAUCCAGGACUCCGAACAAACUUUGGUCACCAAAACACAUAACUCAUAAUACAAAUCGUCAUCGAACGUUAAGUGUGCGGACCCUAUGGGUUCGAGAACUGUGUAGACAUGACCGAGACACAUCUUCGGUCAAUAACCAAUAGCGUAACCUGGAUGCUCAUAUUGGUUCCUACAUAUUCUAUGAAGAUCUUUAUCGGUCAAAGCAUAACAACAUACGUCAUUCCCUUUGUCAUCGGUAUGUUACUUGCCCGAGAUUCGAUCGUCGGUAUCAUCAUACCUAGUUAAAUCUCGUUACCGGCAAGUCUCUUUACUCGUUUCGUAAUGCAUCAUCCCACAACUAACUCAUUAGUUACAUUGCUUGCAAGGCUUAUAGUGAUGUGCAUUACCGAGAGGGCCCAGAGAUACCUCUCUGGUACACAGAGUGACAAAUCCUAAUCUCGAUCUAUGCCAACCCAACAAUCACCUUCGGAGACACCUGUAGAGCAUAUUUAUAAUCACCUAGUUAUGUUGUGACGUUUUAUAGCACACAAGGUGUUCCUCCGGUAUUAGGGGGUUGCAUAAUCUCAUAGUCCGAGGAAUAUGUAUAAGUCAUGAAGAAAGAAAUAGCAAUAAAACUAAAUGAUCAUUAUGCUAAGAUAACGGAUGGGUCUUGUCCAUCACAUCAUUCUCUAAUGAUGUGAUCCCAUUCAUCAAAUUACAACACAUAUCUAUGGUCAGGAAACUUAACCAUCUUUGAUUAACGAGCUAGUCAAGUAGAGGCAUACUAGGGACACUCUAUUUGUCUAUGUAUUCACACAUGUAGUAAGUUUCCAGUUAAUACAAUUCUAGCAUGAAUAAUAAACAUUUAUCAUGAUAUAAGUAAAUAUAAAUAACAACUUUAUUAUUGUCUCUAGGGUAUAUUUCCUUCAGGGGGCGCCCAGGGAUGCGAAAGGCGGGUCCUUUCCGCUCGUAUCUUUGGUUGGGGUAGCACCAAGUCCCGGGUGAGGUGGUGUGAAGGUCUUGGAUUCCGGGGCGGCGGCCCUGGUGGUGGUACCGUGGUGCUCAUGGGUAGAGCCCGCGGCUUGGUGUUGCCCAGUGGCCAUGGGCGUGUGGGAGGUGUGGUCGCUGGGGUGUGGCGUUUGGUGGCGGUGAGUGUUGGCCGGGGUGAAAAUGUGAUCUUUCCUUGGAUGGACCGGCGACGGCGAAGCUCGUUCCCUUCUUGAAGGUGUUGUCGCGGCUCUCAUUACCCAUCAUGUUGCUCCAGGGGAAACCCUGACCCUCGGGUCGGGCGGUGGCGGCAUUAUGGUGCAUUACCUUCCUGAAGGCGCCGCCUUGGAACCCUCAGUUCAUCAUAUGUGGCAUCAUUUCUUCACGGUGGCAUGUUCACAGUGGAGGACAUCGGGUUGCUCUUGUAGUGCUAGGGGUGGUGUUGCUGCGCUCAGCGCCUAUGUAUCCUGCCUUAGGUGUGUGCUUGUAUUGUGGUGGCGUGCGUUUGUACCUGGCUAUGGUUCAUCAUUGCUUUAUAUUUAAAGCGAGGCGAAAGCCUUUUUCGGUAACUAAUAUUAAAUCUAGACAAUAAAAAACACAUAAAAAACAAUCAACAUCCUAGCUGCCUCGUUGUUCGUCUGCCACACACACAUGGUCAUACAACCUUCAUUCAUGUUUAUCAUGCCCUUUUCAAAUACUCUCUCCAGUCGGGUUAAUAGGAUCAACGGUAUUCUUUUCCUCAAUUUGAUUAAUGAAAUAUGCAUUGUAUAUGAUAAAAAUAUGUCACUUGAUUCAUGUUCGAACAAAGAUUGUAAAUACAACAUUUUGACCGCACAUAACACAUAUAUUGUCAAGUCAAAUCGAGAACCUAAGAGCAAACACACACCAUAUACACCCAACUGGAGAGAGGAAAAUUCGAGACCCCCCCUCUCGACCGCGACCGCGCCGCCCCCGCGGGCGGCCAGCCGCGCCUCCCCUCCUUCCCGCAAGCCCUCCCCCUCUCUCCUCCUCCUCCCUGCCGCCGUUGCCGGCGCCCGCCGCCGGCCUGGCCCGGGCGACGUUGGCGGCGGCGGCCCCCGGCCCUUACCCGUCUAGGGUUUCUCCGGGGCGGGACGGAGUGCUCCGGGCGGUGUCUUCAGGCGGCGGCGGUCCUGUGCGGCGGCGGGGUUUCCUAUGCUGCGGCAGGGGCGAGUUCCGUGCGGCGGCGGCGCCGUUGGCGGCGGCGUGGGCUGGCGGCGCCCGCCUGGCCCAGAUGGGGCCCAAAUCUGGGCCUGGGUGGGCCGGCGACAGGCGUGGCGUUGGCGUGGCCAUCAGGAGGCGGUGGUGAGCGGCGAUGAUCGGUGGGGGCUGGUGGCGUCGACGCCAGCCUGCUGCAGCGUGGCCGACGGGGCUUAGCGGGCCCAUUUCGGGCCUGGCCGGGCCAGGGGUGGCCUGGUAUGCCCCGAUGUCGUGUCCGGACGGCUACCGCGACUGUGCCGGAGGCGCGAGCCUCCCGCACGACGGCGGUGGAGGUGGUUCCCUCCCGCUCGGCCUCGGUGCUACUGUUCCCGUCGUUUGGAUCUUCUCUCCGGUCUUCUUGGCCUCGUGGUGGUGCUCGCAGCGAGACGGCGUUGGUGGCGGCGCACCCGGGGUGGCACAUGGUUGGGCGAUGGUUUUGCUGGUCGGCUCCGAUUGGCUGGUGGGGUUUGGCGUGCGGGAGAAAUCCUUGUCGGUUCGUCCGGCUCCGUUGCGGUGACACCGGUGGGUGCCACUAUCCCUUCUUGAAGGGUGUCGGGAGUAGCUAUCCCCCACCUCCCUCCGCGUACUGGGGAAAACCCUAGGUCUUGUCCGAGCAGCAGCGUCGUCGGCGUCGCAUCCCUUCCUGGAGGUGCUGCUUAGUUCACGGUAGAUCGGAGCCUAGGGCUGUAGUAGUUUGUAUUCGGAGGGCGCAGCGGUCGCGGGUCUGCCACGCUUUGUCGAGCUGCCGCUGUUGGCAUUUAUUUCUUUUUCUUUUUCUUUGGGCUUGAUGUGCUGCUCGCCCCGGCAUUGCGAUGUGUUUAAUGGUGGUUUGCUUUGAAAUACAAAGUGAAGGAAAACCCCUUUUUCAGCUAAAAUUCGAGAUUACAAGCCCCCCCUCCCCCUCCCGUUUAACCAUGUCAAUUAUUUGCUCUGUUUCUCUCAUUAUAUAUCAAGGUGACAAUAUUUACUUUAACAUUUGUGAGCCGUUUUGGCAUUAGGUACGAACAUUUUGAUCACAAGGUGUACGUGUCUAUGUCAUCGCCGUAUCAACAGAACCACAAAUCCUAACAAAGAACGGUGGAUGUUGUGUGACGUGACCAACGGACGACUCAGGUGGCUCGCCAACCGCACCCUCUUUCCGACGCAUCGGGAGGUCGGCUCGCUAGCACCAACCGAAGAGGCCACCCCGACCCGGUGGGACACCAGAGAGUGCUUCUAUAUAUUACCGUUUGUGUUGCGGGGAAUGUCGUUGCCACUACACGAGUUUUCUCUGUGGCCUGCUCUUCUACUAUCACACUAUAUCGGCAACGCGCCUUGGCGCGAGGAUGCCGGUCCCAACGAUAUGGUCAACCGAUGGAAGAUCAAAUGGCAUGAUGUAUCAGUAUGAAGGCAAGUUUUAGCACAUGUAACAGAACAACUGAUUAUCUGGCCGGUUCAAGAGUAAGAAGAAACAUUCAAUAUGUACCAGAAGAGUAACAUCGAUCAUCAAGUUAAACAUGGGCAUGAGACUAUCAAAGUUAACCCGUGCCAGAAGCAAGGCAGCAUCCACUACGGUCAUACGAAUAGAAAAACUAAUUAGUUAACAUUAAGUUCAGUAAUAUGAGCAGAAACAUAAGAAAGAAAAGGCCAACAAUGGCAAUGGAGGCAAUAAAACUACGAAGCCAUAGUUAGGCAUACAAUAGAUAGCUUGGCUCAAUUGCCUCCGUGAGUGCCAUUCCAUAUGAACUUGAUGUGAAUAGUUUGUGAUAUAGAUGACCACAAAAUUAUUUUUGUAUAGGCAAUGCACUUGAGAUUUGUUUUUAAAGCAUAUGGACAGUGAGCGAUGGUUUCCCCCUUCUAAUCUUGGAAGGCGAAGACCCAGAUCUGUUAUUCUUUGAUCCCUGCCGCCUCGAAAAAAAAUUUAAGACCAAGAGGAUUGUUGUCAGCUUGGACCUAGCAAGAUAUGUCAUAGUAAUCAUUAAGCAAUCACAUUGGUAAGCAACACUGGAGGGCACAGUAGAACCAAAUAUAUACAUGUUGACCAUAUCUUAAUCAUGAUAGAUCCAGUUUUCUGAAAAUAUAAACAACGAAGCUUCUAUCAAGCCUAAACCCACUACUGGAAGCAAAGUAAAUUUCCUUAUAUGCAGUGACUCUACCGUCAGUUUGGUUUGUUUGCCUGUGUGGGUGUUGACUUGCUUCAGAAGUCAUAGAUACAAAUAGAAGCAUAAUAUGUGGUUUUAGAAAAUAUAUCAAGUUCUAAAGAUAAAUAAAACUACUUUCAAUAUAUAUAGUAGAUGCCAUUGCAGAUAGCACUCCAAUACUAACAUUAGAAAAGGUAAUCUGGUUUUGGUCACACCGUCAAAAAAUUAGAUAAACACCAGAUGGCAAACAAAAUACAUGUUAAGCCUCCAUCCUUGUGAUUAUUGUUUUUCUUGUUCCAGAGCUCCUGUACAAAUGAUUUACAUGGUGAUCCGGAAAAAGUUGAAGCAAGCAUAUAAAUAGUGACCCUCCUAGUGAGUGAACAAAAUGUAAAAAAAACUCAUUUUCAUUUAGUGCAAACUAUGAUUCAAUCUUUCUUCUUUUUCCAACAAAAAUGUUAAUAUUCAGAAGGUAGUUGGAGACAGGGCUACACCUUAUGAAGGUUUUAAUCUUACGGUUCAAUGAAUUGCAUAGGCAGAGCACACAGUUGAUGGAUUCAAACUAUUUUUAAGAGAUGAUGUGGCAAGGCUAAGAAGAUGAAAAUAAUUAAGAAGAAAAGUUCAUGCUCAACAACUUACGAAGAUUUAACUGGGUAGCGCCUCAUGGCAGUCAUCAACCUUUGAGCCGUAGAACCGUAAGAUCAAACUGAGACUCAAGCCUGCAUAACCAUAGCAAGAAAAGGAUCAUCAACAAAGAGGACAAAGUGAAUCAGGAACCAGUUCCUGGUUCCUCUAAAAAAUCAUUCUAAAUGACAAACUGUGAGAAGAAAAAAGAACUGGUCUAAUGACAUAGAUGUGUUAAACGGCAAACACUACCAAGUCAGAUCAAAUAAUCAGCCUAUUUCUGUCCCUUUUCAAUAUUAAGAACGAUUAUUAAGUAACCAGGUACAUAACAAAAACAAAUAAUGCCUACAUAGUAGUUCAUCUCUCUUAAUACAUCUACACUGAUUUUGAUGUGUAGUUUAGGACCAAUGGAAAACCAGAAAAACACAAACAACUCACACAAUAAAGCUAAAACUAAAUACUGCACGCCGUCGAGACCUAUCUGGCGUGCAACAUCUGUCACUACAGAAGGACAUCGGCGUCAAUCACAGCGGUAGGGCCAUCAGCAUAGCCAACACGAAUUGCAGGCCGAACCACGGUCGCAGCUACUGACUCCAACAUAUUUUUGAACGUAGAUAUGAUACAUGAUUGAGAAUACCUAAUCAGUAAAGCACCACUACCCAACCAUAAACAUAGAGGAAGUAAUAUGAGCCGAAAUCUCUAAUGGCAUGAAAAAAUUAGAGCAUGUUUGACAUAUCAUUUUAAACUACAAAUAUGAAAUAAACUACAGCCAAGAAAGAAAACUAAGUAGCUAGAGAGCAUACACUGCUUUCUAAUAGGAAAGAAGGUAAUUUAACUGGCAAGGUACUGCCACUGACUCCAACAUGAAAGAAUGAAGAAAACUUUUUUAAUCAACCUCUGCCAUGCUCAUGUUUCUUUUGUAGUCAGUAGAGUAGUUGCAACCAUGCGCAUAUCACUAGCAAAAAAAAAGAGAAGGUCACGACUUACUUAAUGUUUGACGGCGGCAAGAGCCACGAUGGCAUCGGCGGCGGUGGUGGCGUCCGAUCGCCAACAACCAUGCAUAUAUCAAGUGCCAUGAUAUGUGAGGCAAGACAUAGGAAUACAAGAGGGAAACAAAACAGAGGCACACAUGAUGCAUACUUUACCAUACAAACUUAAGGCAGCAAGAGAGGCCCCUAUAACUUGCUGGGAGCAUGUCUUUCUAGUAUAACAAAGUGCAGCUUACUCUUAACCAGAUUAAAUCAAGGACCAACAACAAACAAUAAAAGAUCAAGAACAACUCAUAUGCAAUAAAGGUAUGAGAGAGAAGAAAUCUUUACAUAAGACGACUAUAAACACCGGAGCAUAAAUAAGCAACACCUUUAAAUACAAAUAAAAAGGAUCCAGGGUUCAUUGCAUAGUGGGCACAGAUCUGACUUUCCUCGAUCAUAUAACCUACCCCCGUCUCUUAUCACCAGAUCAAUCUUUUUAUACAGUGGAGCUUCCCUGGUUAUCACUCAACAAGAAUGACCAUCCAAGGACAGAGCAACAAGUAUCACAGGAUCAAAAAGGAUUCUAGAGACAAGAGGGAGGAUUCAACUUGAUACCCACAUGUGCCUCGAUUGCUCGAAGGCACACUUAUUUCAGACACGGCUAAUCAUCAUCGCCCCAGCACGAAAGCCAUCGGAGCAUAAAUAAGUAACACCUUUAAGUACAAAUAAAAAUAGUUCAGGGUUCAUUGCAUUGUGGGCUCAGAUUCGGCUUUCCUCGAUCAUAUAACCUACCCCCGUCAUCUUUUAUCAUAGAUCAAUCUGUUUAUACAAUGGAGCUGCCCUGGUUAUCACUCAACAAGAAUGACCAUCCUAGGACAGAACAACAAGUAUCACAGGAUCAAAAAGGACUCCAGAGACAAGAGGGAGGAUCCAGCUUGAUACCCACGGGUGCCUCGAUUGCUCAAAGGCACACUUAUUUCAGUCAAGGUUGUCAGGACCCGAGUGCCUCUGUCUGAAGAUCCGAUCGCUGCAAAUAGGAUUCAGUUAAUUCAAACCCGUCC
rnacentral:lncRNA from 1 species